rnacentral:rRNA from 1 species
CAUGCAGUCGAGCGAACAGACGAGGAGCUUGCUCCUCUGACGUUAGCGGCGGACGGGUGAGUAACACGUGGAUAACCUACCUAUAAGACUGGGAUAACUUCGGGAAACCGGAGCUAAUACCGGAUAAUAUAUUGAACCGCAUGGUUCAAUAGUGAAAGACGGUUUUGCUGUCACUUAUAGAUGGAUCCGCGCCGCAUUAGCUAGUUGGUAAGGUAACGGCUUACCAAGGCAACGAUGCGUAGCCGACCUGAGAGGGUGAUCGGCCACACUGGAACUGAGACACGGUCCAGACUCCUACGGGAGGCAGCAGUAGGGAAUCUUCCGCAAUGGGCGAAAGCCUGACGGAGCAACGCCGCGUGAGUGAUGAAGGUCUUCGGAUCGUAAAACUCUGUUAUUAGGGAAGAACAAAUGUGUAAGUAACUAUGCACGUCUUGACGGUACCUAAUCAGAAAGCCACGGCUAACUACGUGCCAGCAGCCGCGGUAAUACGUAGGUGGCAAGCGUUAUCCGGAAUUAUUGGGCGUAAAGCGCGCGUAGGCGGUUUUUUAAGUCUGAUGUGAAAGCCCACGGCUCAACCGUGGAGGGUCAUUGGAAACUGGAAAACUUGAGUGCAGAAGAGGAAAGUGGAAUUCCAUGUGUAGCGGUGAAAUGCGCAGAGAUAUGGAGGAACACCAGUGGCGAAGGCGACUUUCUGGUCUGUAACUGACGCUGAUGUGCGAAAGCGUGGGGAUCAAACAGGAUUAGAUACCCUGGUAGUCCACGCCGU